CAGCGUGGAGAUAGCGCAUUGACCACUGAAGUUCUCAAUGGACCACUGAAGUUAAGCUACGUUGCGCAUGGUUGGUAUCCGGAUGGGUGACCAUCUGGGCAAUCGCGAGCUGCUCAGG
rnacentral:rRNA from 1 species